rnacentral:rRNA from 1 species
UCAAUCUCGUGCGGCUAGGAGCCGCCUGUCCCUCUAAGAAGAUUGCUACGCAGCCAGCAUUGAUAUCGCUGCGCCUAUUUAGCAGGCUAGAGUCUCGUUCGUUAU